rnacentral:lncRNA from 1 species
GAGCAUCCUGCCUCCCUGCUGGGCGAGCGCUGCCAGCUGCGUGAGGCACGUGGGCGGGGAUCUGCUCUCCCAGCAGGCGCAGACACCCACCUGACAGCCUCGUCGCCUAGUGUCUGCCUAAACCGCUAUGAAGGGUCUGCUUUUACUUCUUGUCGGAGCUCCUGAAAUCCUGUCUGCAGCCCUGGUUGGGAGUAGGAGCUGGUGAGUUUCUGCCUUGAGACUCCAUGCUGGAAGAAGUUGGUGUGACACCGCCUUGCUGAGCUUGUGUACUGGGAGGAGGAGGAGCCAGAGAGCUGUCACCAUGCUGAACUGGUGUGGGAGGAGCCGAAUGUCUUGUAAAAUAAUCAGAUCAAUAAAAAGCCCGAAUCCUCGAUUGUUUGCCACUUUGAUCAAUGUAAUAUGCAAACUGGCUACAGCGGAUGACGAUCUGAAAGACUGACUUAAAGCUCAGAGACGGAAAGCUGAAUUCUGAAAUGGCAGCUACAGAAGAAACAAUUGAAACCUCUCAGAUUGAAAUAUGCCCCCUCC